rnacentral:rRNA from 1 species
CCUACGGGUGGCAGCAGUGAGGAAUAUUGGUCAAUGGGCGAGAGCCUGAACCAGCCAAGUCGCGUGAAGGAUGACGGCCCUACGGGUUGUAAACUUCUUUUGUCAGGGAGCAAUUGAGUCCACGUGUGGGCUUAGCGAGAGUACCUGAAGAAAAAGCAUCGGCAAACUCCGUGCCAGCAGCCGCGGUAAUACGGAGGAUGCGAGCGUUAUCCGGAUUGAUUGGGUUUAAAGGGUGCGUAGGCGGAAUAUCAAGUCAGCGGGAAAAAUUCGGGGCUAAACCCCGUGGUGCCGGGGAAACUGAUGUGCGUGAGUGGGCGAGAAGUAUGCGGAAUGCGUGGUGUAGCGGGGAAAUGCGUAGAUAGCACGCAGAACUCCGGUGGCGAAGGCAGCAUACCGGCGCCCAACUGACGCUGAAGCACGAAAGCGUGGGUAGCGAACAGGAUUAGAUACCCCAGUAGUC